rnacentral:tRNA from 1 species
GGCCCUAUCGUCUAGUGGUUAGGACUCCAGGUUUUCAUCCUGGCAACAGGGGUUCGAUUCCCCUUAGGGCUA